AGAAAUAAUGCUAAACGUAGAUGGUUUACAAUCUAAUAUUUUUUAUCUUUCGCGAAGCUUAUACAUGCCUAUGUUUAAGAGAUAAACUAUUUACGUUUCAAAUCUUAAACUAUGCUAGAUUCUUGGUAGCUUAAUUUUAACAGUGUAUUCCUUAAGUCGAUCGGGUGGUCACAAUUGUUUACAUGUUCCGCCAUUCCGGCAAGGAGACUGAAAUUGCAACCGCGAUAAUUAAUGUGUUUCUAAUCCGAUCGGAAAUAAGAAAUGUUCGGAACUUUGGCCAGAAGGAGCAUUGAACGGAGCCGAAAAAGUGAAACUUCUGUUCUGCCUCUCUUAGCGAUCUCCACUCAAUCGCAAGUAGACGCAGUAAGAAACUCGACCACGUAAUCGGAACGGGAUGCUUUUCGUUUUCCGGUAAAACAACUUUUUUCCAUGGGUUACGCUCAGCUGCCUCCAGUAAUAACGAAUGAUUUUUCUUCAAGCGGUGUUCAGGAAGGCAGAAUCUUCCGACAAAAGAUGGGACCUCCGGGAGUCUCGAGCUUCUUCAUAAUCUUGGAAGGAGAUGCAAGCAGCAGUAACGUUGGAACUGAGACGAGUGCAAUAGCAUUGUUGGCUUAAGAAUCGCUAUGCAGAAUAAAAGAGCAUCGCGGGGAACACUUAUCAACCCUUGGACUAACCUACGAGCAUCAUGCGAUCUACAAAGGAGUAUAGGAUUUGUUUUGUAUACGAAAAGUGUUGUAAUUUGUUUUAUUUGUGAACUUGCCAAAAGGUACAGGAGUGAAUAAACGUUCAUGAUUCUU